CUCGCUUCGCCCACGGUAUAGCAAUUAAAUCAAAGUCCCUUGCAAGAGUACCGUGUACGGCAAGGGCAUAGCCUCGCUCUCUGAAAAACUCACAGAGCGCAGGAUACAUAGCCGCGCAGUAAACGGGUGCGUAAUUAGCUUCCUUCACUCGGCACAUCCUUGUCGG
rnacentral:rRNA from 1 species